UAGCGUAUAUUAAAGUUGUUGCGGUUAAAAAGUUCGUAGUUGGAUUUCUGUGAAGGUUAACCGGUCCGCACUAUGUGCGUGUAUCUGUUUGACCUUUGCAUCCUCGCGGAAUACGUCACUGUGCUUCACUGCAUGGGGCGGGCUUCGCGACUUUUACUUUGAGGAAAUUAGAGUGUUCACGGCAGGCUCACGCCAUGAAUAUAUUAGCAUGGAAUAAUAAUAUAGGACCUUGGUUCUAUUUUGUUGGUUUCUAGGGCUAAGGUAAUGAUUAAUAGGGACAAUUGGGGGCAUUCGUAUUAACGCGUC
rnacentral:rRNA from 1 species